rnacentral:rRNA from 1 species
UACGUAGGGUGCGAGCGUUGUCCGGAAUUAUUGGGCGUAAAGAGCUCGUAGGCGGCUUGUCGCGUCGGAUGUGAAAGCCCGGGGCUUAACUCCGGGUCUGCAUUCGAUACGGGCAGGCUAGAGUUCGGUAGGGGAGACUGGAAUUCCUGGUGUAGCGGUGAAAUGCGCAGAUAUCAGGAGGAACACCGGUGGCGAAGGCGGGUCUCUGGGCCGUAACUGACGCUGAGGAGCGAAAGCAUGGGGAGCGAACAGG